CCCUUAGAUGUCCUGGGCCGCACGCGCGUUACACUGAUGCAUUCAACGAGCUUAUAACCUUGGCCGAGAGGCCUGGGCAAUCUUGUUAACGUGCAUCGUGAUAGGGAUAGAUUAUUGAAUUUAUUAAUCUUGAACGAGGAAUUCCUAGUAAACGCAGAUCAUCAAUCUGCAUUGAUUACGUCCCUGCCCUUUGUACACACCGCCCGUCGCACCUACCGAUUGGAUGGUCCGGUGAAGCCUCGGGAUUGUGGUUCUUGCCGCUUUAUUGUGGCGUGACCGCGAGAACUUGUCUAAACCUUAUCAUCUAGAGGAAGGUGAAGUCGUAACA
rnacentral:rRNA from 1 species